UACGGAGGGUGCAAACGUUGCUCGGAAUUAUUGGGCGUAAAGCGCACGUAGGUGGUCUGACAUGUCGGGUGUGAAAGCCCUCGGCUUAACCGAGGAAGUGCAUUCGAAACUAUCAGACUUGAAUACUCAAGAGGGUCUCGGAAUUCCCGGUGUAGAGGUGAAAUUCGUAGAUAUCUGGAGGAACACCGGUGGCGAAGGCGGCAUCCUGGACCGACACUGACACUGAGGAGCGAAAGCCAGGGGAGCAAACGGG
rnacentral:rRNA from 1 species